ACAAUGGUGGGGCCUCCCCCAUGAGAGGAGCCUCCUGAGUGCGUGCUCUCUGCUCUGCAUGGGAGGACGCAGUGGGAGGUGGCCAUCUGUAAGCGGGGACGACAGCCCUCGCCAGAACCCUGCCAUGCUGGCUCCCUGAGCUUGGACUUCCAGCCUCCAGAAUGGGAGGGAUGAAUGUCCAGUGUUGAAGCCUAUCGGGAUUUAUUAUGGCGGUCACAAUGACAGCGACAGUGGCUCUGGACAAGCCUCAUCUCCCGCCUGAACUGCACACUCUCCUCUGAAGCGAGCACACCGGCCAGAGUGCAGGGGCUGGCUGGGGAGGAGACCUGCCCCUCCCGAGGGCAGAAGAGGUGUCACUAGCUUUAGGACAGCGGGACUGGCCACAGAAUUCGAUGCAUGGUAGAGGAACCUUUCUCACCAAGUGAGCUGUGCAGUUGGGGCAGUUCUGCAGGUUGGGGAGCCUGCAGGUGGGGCACGUCCAGUAACGGCCACUCCCUCGGUGCCGCCGAGCAGCCAUUCCCCCUUCGUCGGUGGAUAAAGCCUCAGUGAAAGGAACCUGCCAGGCUGCUGCUGAAGGCUCCUGAUUAGACGGGCAGGGCACCCUGUGGCCAACAUCCUCCUGCAGGCUUCGUGAGGACCACCGACGGGGGAGGUCAGGGGACGCUCGACCUGGCUGCAGGAGGUCACGCACACGCCCAGUGUAGACUUUGGAGGCUGAGCACGCACACG